UAGCCGCAAUAUUCUGUGCUAAGGUAGCAUAAUCAUCAGUUCACUAAUUAUGAAAUAGAAUGAAUGAUUACACGAACGAAUUAAUUUUUUUAUUAUUCUCGAAUAAAUUCAUCUUUCAGUCAAAAAGCUCUAUUCCCCAAGAAGGACAACAAGACCCUGACGAACUUCCACUAUAAGUUUUACUGGGGCGGUUCCAUAAGAAUAUCUUUUCUCUUCUUUCUCUUAUCCAAAAAAUUUGAUCUCUCCAAGUUACCGCAGGGAUAACAGCAUAAUAAUUUUUUAAAGUUCUUAUUUAAAAAAAUUCUUAUGACCUCGAUGUUGAAUUAAAUACCUAACUUAAGCAAGAUUAAUUUAUUCAGGAAGUCUGUUCGACUUUUAAUUUUUUACAUGAU
rnacentral:rRNA from 1 species